AGCGGAGGAAAAGAAACUAA
rnacentral:ncRNA from 2 species